rnacentral:lncRNA from 1 species
CACCUGAGGGACACCCGCGCGAACGCCACGCUUAUCCUAGUCCUAGCAACCGGGCCGCCACGCCUGCUGCCGCGGGGCACGACGGGAGCGUAGUUCCAUGGGCGGGGCCUGUGAGAUAUGACGGCAGAGCCUCGACUACAUUUCCCUUAAGGCCGUGCGCGUGAAUGCUUCACCCAGCCUUGCUGAGUCUGGGGACUUUUCUCCUGUGUGCUGCAGUGAACUCGACCCCUGCGUGACACUUCGAGACAUCAGCAGAAAGAAGACUUGAGGCAGAAGGAGACUCUAUGGCCGUCUAUAGUCACUCAAAGAGCAUCUGCCAUCAUACUUCUGUAAAGUCCCAUGUUGGUGCUGAACAAUCUCUUCUACUGCUUGAAAGGUGACUGUGGUCCGAGGCCCUCAUUUUCCUCAUCUGUACAAUGGGUGAAACAAAUAUGUGAACUCCUGAAUAAAAAAUAAGAUUGGCGCUGA